UACGGAGGGUGCGAGCGUUGUCCGGAAUCACUGGGCGUAAAGGGCGCGUAGGCGGUUUGUUAAGUCGGCUGUGAAAGCCCGGGGCUCAACCCCGGAGGGUCAGCCGAUACUGGCAGACUAGAGUACGGAAGAGGUAGCUGGAAUUCCCGGUGUAGCGGUGAAAUGCGUAGGUAUCGGGAGGAACACCUGAGGCGAAGGCGGGCUACUGGGCCGAUACUGACGCUGAUGCGCGAAAGCCAGGGGAGCGAACGGG
rnacentral:rRNA from 1 species